CCUACGGGAGGCAGCAGUGAGGAAUAUUGGUCAAUGGCCGGAAGGCUGAACCAGCCAUGCCGCGUGAAGGUCAGUGCCCUAUGGGCGUUAAACUUCUUUUGUGCGGGAGCAAUAGUGGUCACGUGUGGCCAGACGAGAGUACCGUACGAAUAAGCAUCGGCUAACUCCGUGCCAGCAGCCGCGGUAAUGCGGGGGAGGCAAGCGGUAUCCGGAUUUAUUUGGUUUAAAGGGUGCGUAGGCUGGGAGGUAAGGCAGCGGUGAAAUGCCCCCGCUCAACGGGGUGAAGUGCCAUUGAUACUGCCUUGCUGGAAUGCGGAUGCCGUGGGAGGAAUGCGUGGUGUAGCGGUGAAAUGCAUAGAUAUCACACAGAACACCGAUUGCGAAGGCAUCUCACGAAUCCGCGAUUGACGCUGAUGCACGAAAGCGUGGGUAUCAAACAGGAUUAGAUACCCCAGUAGUC
rnacentral:rRNA from 1 species